UACUGCAAGUCGAGCGGACAGAAGGGAGCUUGCUCCGGGAUGUAGCGGCGGACGGGUGAGUAACACGUGGGUAACUGCCUGUAAGACUGGGAUAACUCCGGGAAACCGGAGCUAAUACCGGAUAGUUCCUUGAACCGCAUGGUUCAAGGAUGAAAGACGGUUUCGGCUGUCACUUACAGAUGGACCGCGGCGCAUAGCUAGUUGGUGGGGUAAUGGCUCACCAAGGCGACGAUGCGUAGCCGACCUGAGAGGGUGAUCGGCCACACUGGGACUGAGACACGGCCCAGACUCCUACGGGAGGCAGCAGUAGGGAAUCUUCCGCAAUGGACGAAAGUCUGACGGAGCAACGCCGCGUGAGUGAUGAAGGUUUUCGGAUCGUAAAGCUCUGUUGUUAGGGAAGAACAAGUGCGAGAGUAACUGCUCGCACCUUGACGGUACCUAACCAGAAAGCCACGGCUAACUACGUGCCAGCAGCCGCGGUAAUACGUAGGUGGCAAGCGUUGUCCGGAAUUAUUGGGCGUAAAGGGCUCGCAGGCGGUUUCUUAAGUCUGAUGUGAAAGCCCCCGGCUCAACCGGGGAGGGUCAUUGGAAACUGGGAAACUUGAGUGCAGAAGAGGAGAGUGGAAUUCCACGUGUAGCGGUGAAAUGCGUAGAGAUGUGGAGGAACACCAGUGGCGAAGGCGACUCUCUGGUCUGUAACUGACGCUGAGGAGCGAAAGCGUGGGGAGCGAACAGGAUUAGAUACCCUGGUAGUCCACGCCGUAAACGAUGAGUGCUAAGUGUUAGGGGGUUUCCGCCCCUUAGUGCUGCAGCUAACGCAUUAAGCACUCCGCCUGGGGAGUACGGUCGCAAGACUGAAACUCAAAGGAAUUGACGGGGGCCCGCACAAGCGGUGGAGCAUGUGGUUUAAUUCGAAGCAACGCGAAGAACCUUACCAGGUCUUGACAUCCUCUGACAACCCUAGAGAUAGGGCUUUCCCUUCGGGGACAGAGUGACAGGUG
rnacentral:rRNA from 1 species